rnacentral:tRNA from 1 species
GCCGGGGUGGCGGAACUGGCAGACGCACAGGACUUAAAAUCCUGCCGCGAGAGAUCACCGUCCCGGUUCCA